CCCGUAAUGUAUCCAGGGCUGGAGGGGGAGGUAACUCGUAUGACCGUAGUGUACCCAGUGGGAUGAGGGAGGUAACUCGUAUGACCGUAGUGUACCCAGAGUGGGUAGGGAGGUAACUCGUAUGACCGUAGUGUACCCAGUGGGAUGAGGGAGGUUACUCGGAUGACCGUAGUCUACCCAGAUUGGGUAGGGAGGUAACUGGUAUGACUGUAGUGUACUGAGAGUUGGGAGGGAGGUAACUCGUAUGACCAUGGUGUACCGAGAGUGGGGAGGGAGGUAACUCGUAUGACCGUAGUGUACCCAGAUUGGGUAGGGAGGUAACUCGUAUGACCGUAGUGUACCCAGAUUGGGGAGGGAGGAAACUCGUAUGACCAUAGUGUACUGAGAGUGGGGAGGGAGGUAACUCGUAUGACCAUAGUGUACCCAGAGUGGGGAGGGAGGUAACUCGUAUGACCGUAGUGUACCCAGAGGGAUGAGGGAGGUAACUCGUAUGACCGUAG